GAACUUAAGCAUAUCAAUAAGCGGAGGAAAAGAAACUAACAAGGAUUCCCCUAGUAACUGCGAGUGAAGCGGGAAAAGCUCAAAUUUAAAAUCUGGUGGUCCCGAGUUGGCUGCCCGAGUUGUAAUCUAGAGAAGUGCUUUCCGCGCUGGACCGUGUACAAGUCUCUUGGAACGGAGCGUCGUAGAGGGUGACAAUCCCGUCUUUGACACGGACUGCCAGGGCUUAUGUGAUGCGCUCUCGAAGAGUCGAGUUGUUUGGGAAUGCAGCUCAAAAUGGGUGGUAAAUUCCAUCUAAAGCUAAAUAUGGGCGAGAGACCGAUAGCGAACAAGUACCGUGAGGGAAAGAUGAGAAGAACUUUGAAAAGAGAGUUAAACAGUACGUGAAAUUGUUGAAAGGGAAACGAUUCAAGUCAGUCGCGUUGGCCGGUAAUCAACCCUUGCGAAGGCGGGGGCUUACUUUCCGUCUGACGGGUCAGCAUCAAUUUUGACCGUCAGAUAAAGGUUUGGGGAACGUGGCAUCUUCGGAUGUGUUAUAGCCCCUUGUCAGAUGUGACGGUUGGGAUUGAGGAACUUGGCACGCCCGCAAAGGGUCGGGGCUUUUUGCCCACGUAACGUGCUUUGGAUGCUGGCAUAAUGGCUUGAACCGACCCGUCUUGAAACACGGACCAAGGAGUCUAACAUGCCUGCGAGUGUUUGGGUGGCAAACUCGAGCGCGAAGUGAAAGUGAAACUUGUCGAGAUCUCUGUCGUGGGGAGCACCGACGCCCGGACCUGACCUUUUGUGAAGGAUCCGCGGUUGAGCAUGCAUGUUGGGACCCGAAA
rnacentral:rRNA from 1 species